rnacentral:rRNA from 1 species
UAUGGAAGGUCCGGGCGUUAUCCGGAUUUAUUGGGUUUAAAGGGAGCGCAGGCGAAAUGCUAAGCGUGCCGUGAAAGCGCGGGGCUCAACCCCGUAGAGCGGCGCGAACUGGCGUUCUUGGUUGCGGGAAGGGAAGGCGGAACUCGUGGUGUAGCGGUGAAAUGCAUAGAUAUCACGAAGAACUCCGAUCGCGAAGGCAGCCUUCCGGCCCGUGAACGACGCUCAUGCUCGAAGGCGCGGGUAUCAAACA